UGCAAGUCGAGCGAACAGAUAAGGAGCUUGCUCCUUUGACGUUAGCGGCGGACGGGUGAGUAACACGUGGGUAACCUACCUAUAAGACUGGGAUAACUUCGGGAAACCGGAGCUAAUACCGGAUAACAUUUGGAACCGCAUGGUUCUAAAGUGAAAGAUGGUUUUGCUAUCACUUAUAGAUGGACCCGCGCCGUAUUAGCUAGUUGGUAAGGUAACGGCUUACCAAGGCGACGAUACGUAGCCGACCUGAGAGGGUGAUCGGCCACACUGGAACUGAGACACGGUCCAGACUCCUACGGGAGGCAGCAGUAGGGAAUCUUCCGCAAUGGGCGAAAGCCUGACGGAGCAACGCCGCGUGAGUGAUGAAGGGUUUCGGCUCGUAAAACUCUGUUAUUAGGGAAGAACAAAUGUGUAAGUAACUGUGCACGUCUUGACGGUACCUAAUCAGAAAGCCACGGCUAACUACGUGCCAGCAGCCGCGGUAAUACGUAGGUGGCAAGCGUUAUCCGGAAUUAUUGGGCGUAAAGCGCGCGUAGGCGGUUUCUUAAGUCUGAUGUGAAAGCCCACGGCUCAACCGUGGAGGGUCAUUGGAAACUGGGAAACUUGAGUGCAGAAGAGGAAAGUGGAAUUCCAUGUGUAGCGGUGAAAUGCGCAGAGAUAUGGAGGAACACCAGUGGCGAAGGCGACUUUCUGGUCUGUAACUGACGCUGAUGUGCG
rnacentral:rRNA from 1 species